AUUGAACGCUGGCGGCAUGCUUUACACAUGCAAGUCGAACGGUAACAGGCCGCAAGGUGCUGACGAGUGGCGCACGGGUGAGUAAUGCAUCGGAACGUGCCCAGUCGUGGGGGAUAACUACUCGAAAGAGUAGCUAAUACCGCAUACGAUCUAUGGAUGAAAGCGGGGGACCGUAAGGCCUCGCGCGAUUGGAGCGGCCGAUGUCAGAUUAGGUAGUUGGUGGGGUAAAGGCUCACCAAGCCAACGAUCUGCAGCUGGUCUGAGAGGACGACCAGCCACACUGGGACUGAGACACGGCCCAGACUCCUACGGGAGGCAGCAGUGGGGAAUUUUGGACAAUGGGCGCAAGCCUGAUCCAGCAAUGCCGCGUGCAGGAAGAAGGCCUUCGGGUUGUAAACUGCUUUUGUACGGAACGAAACGGCUCUGGUUAAUACCCGGGGCUAAUGACGGUACCGUAAGAAUAAGCACCGGCUAACUACGUG
rnacentral:rRNA from 1 species